UGCCUACACCAUACCACCCUGAAUGCGUCCAGUCUUGUCUGAUCUCGGAAGCUAAGCAGGGUCAGGCCUGGUUAGUACUUGGAUGGGAGAGACAGCACCCUACAGGAAGCUGUCAAGUCUAGUCAG
rnacentral:rRNA from 1 species